rnacentral:rRNA from 1 species
GUGAAAUUGUGUAAAGGGAAAACGAUUGAAGUCAGUCAUGCUAGUGUAAAAAUCAGUUUGACCGGGGGUUUUGAGUUCUUGAGUAGAGGCAGGGGUCAAACCGGUUUCUCUUUUGGACUUGGGAGUUGUUAGAUGUACGUUUUUCGUUUAGCAGGUCAACGUCGGUUUCCGGGGGUUGUAAAAUACUUCGGGGGAAAGUAGCUCUGCUUCGGGAGAGUGUUAUAGACCCUCGGGGGGAUGCAGCCUGUGGGGGGGUCGAGGAUUGCAGCAAAUGCCUUCUGGCUUGUCGCCUAUUCCUGGGUGUCACCUGUCUUGUGGCAACAUUCUUGCCACCGGAGAGUACUAAUGCCUACUGUUUAGAGCGAUCGAAAAUUUUGCUAAGGAUGUUGACGUAAUGGCUUUAAACGAC